rnacentral:rRNA from 1 species
CACGUAGGGCGCGAGCGUUGUCCGGAAUUAUUGGGCGUAAAGAGCUCGUAGGUGGUUUGUUACGUCUGCUGUGAAAACCUAGGGCUUAACCCUGGGCUUGCAGUGGAUACGGGCAGACUAGAGGUAGGUAGGGGAGAAUGGAAUUCACGGUGUAGCGGUGAAAUGCGCAGAUAUCGGGAGGAACACCGGUGGCGAAGGCGGUUCUCUGGGCAUUUCCUGACGCUGAGGAGCGAAAGCGUGGGGAGCGAACAGG